ACGGGAGGCAGCAGUGGGGAAUAUUGGGCAAUGGGCGAAAGCCUGACCCAGCGACGCCGCGUGAAGGAAGAAGGUCUUCGGAUUGUAAACUUCUUUUAUAUGGGACGAAACAAAUGGCGGUACCAUAUGAAUAAGCCACGGCUAACUACGUGCCAGCAGCCGCGGUAAUACGUAGGUGACAAGCGUUAUCCGGAUUUACUGGGUGUAAAGGGCGCGUAGGCGGGGAUGCAAGUCAGGUGUGAAAUCUAUGGGCUUAACCCAUAAACUGCAUUUGAAACUGUAUCUCUUGAGUGUCGGAGAGGUAGAUGGAAUUCCUAGUGUAGCGGUGAAAUGCGUAGAUAUUAGGAGGAACACCAGUGGCGAAGGCGAUCUACUGGACGAUAACGGACGCUGAGGCGCGAAAGCGUGGGGAGCAAACAGGAUUAGAUACCCUGGUA
rnacentral:rRNA from 1 species